rnacentral:rRNA from 1 species
UGGGGAAUAUUGCACAAUGGGCGGAAGCCUGAUGCAGCGACGCCGCGUGGGGGAUGACGGCCUUCGGGUUGUAAACUCCUUUCGACAGGGACGAAGCUUUUUGUGACGGUACCUGUAUAAGAAGCACCGGCUAACUACGUGCCAGCAGCCGCGGUAAUACGUAGGGUGCGAGCGUUGUCCGGAAUUACUGGGCGUAAAGGGCUCGUAGGUGGUUUGUCGCGUCGUCUGUGAAAUUCCGGGGCUUAACUCCGGGCGUGCAGGCGAUACGGGCAUAACUUGAGUACUGUAGGGGUAACUGGAAUUCCUGGUGUAGCGGUGAAAUGCGCAGAUAUCAGGAGGAACACCGAUGGCGAAGGCAGGUUACUGGGCAGUUACUGACGCUGAGGAGCGAAAGCAUGGGUAGCGAACAGG